GUUUAGAAGCUCUGACCCUGCCAAGCAUAGUUGGGAAGUUUUCUUUCUCCAGAUAGAGGGAGCCGAAGGGAGUGCUCAGAGUUUCAUCUUCUGACCCCUGUGAUCACGGCCUGCAGCCUGUAUUUAGAAUCCAUGCUGUCCUAUUAUGAGUAACAACCUGUGCAUGACAAUGAAAAAUGACGCAUGCUGUUUGGGUGCAUUCAAGCUGUGAAGCCUGGAAUAUUCAAGGGAGAAAAUAAAUGGGCAGGCAGAGCUGUGUGAUUCUGCUAUUUUGCCUUUAGUGGGUGGCUGCAGUGAACUGGAAAAUUAGGUUUCUUCAGAAAUUUCCCCCAGAAAUAAGCUGUGUGCCUUCAGUCCAAAAGAGGUGAAGACAGGACAACCACAGUAUUACCAACUAGAAAAAAGGGGAAUCUAUAUUCACCCCACACAGCAAUCUUCUAUCAAAGAAGACAAUCCAACCAGUGUGCUCAUGCUUAUCAAGUCUUUAUAUCACAUUGCUGAAGGACAUUGGAAUAUACU